AUGGCAGCCCCACGCAUCCUGCUUCCUACCAUGUCACCUCCCCACAUGUCCUGCUUCCUACAGUGUCACCUCCCCACGUGUCCUGCUUCCUACCGUGUCACUUCCCCACGUGUCCUGCUUCCUACAGUGUCACCUCCCCACACAUCCUCCUUCCUACAAUGUCACCUCCCCAUGCAUCCUGCUUCCUACAGUGUCACCCCAUGUGUCCUGCUUCCUACCAUGUCACCUCCUCACGUGUCCUGCUUCCUACCGUGUCACCUCCCCACGUGUCCUGCUUCCUACAGUGUCACCUCCUCACGUGUCCUGCUUCCUACCGUGUCACCUCCCCACGUGUCCUGCUUCCUACAGUGUCACCUCCCCACACAUCCUCCUUCCUACAGUGUCACCUCCCCAUGCAUCCUGCUUCCUACAGUGUCACCUCCCCACAUGUCCUGCUUCCUACAGUGUCACCUCCCCACGUGUCCUGCUUCCUACAUGUCACCUCCCCACGUGUCCUGCUUCCUACAGUGUCACCCCAUGUAUCCUGCUUCCUACCAUGUCACCUCCUCACGUGUCCUGCUUCCUACAGUGUCACCCCAUGUGUCCUGCUUCCUACCAUGUCACCUCCUCACGUGUCCUGCUUCCUACCGUGUCAUCUCCCCACGUGUCCUGCUUCCUACAGUGUCACCUCCCCACGUGUCCUGCUUCCUACAGUGUCACCUCCCCACGUGUCCUGCUUCCUACAGUGUCACCUCCCCACGUGUCCUGCUUCCUACCAUGUCACCUCCCCACGUGUCCUGCUUCCUACAGUGGCCCCACCCCGGCUGGAUGCUCCUACAGUGUCACCACCCCAGUCUAGGCCCUGGAAUCCCUGUGCAGCCAACUGACUUCCUGCCUCUGUUCCAUUCCAAUCCAGAUCCCAGCAGGGGUGAGGACAAGGCUUCUAAGAUGCAUGUGACCGUGAUGCCCCUGCAGGAUACCCUUGGAAGGCCUCCCGUGGCCCCGGGUACCUUGACUCCUGACUUAGGCCCCUGCCUCCCUCCGGGCUGCGGGUCUCACUACACUCCCACCCCAGGCCUCGUGGAACAUUUAGCCACAUCGUCAUCCUUGCUUCCUUCUCCCCUUUCUUCCUUUUUUUUGGGCAAAACGCCCCUCCUGACUGUCCCUUGCACCUGCCCUGGCUUUCUUCCGGUUGUACCACUCUCCCUCUCUCCUGGCCUCUGGGCUGUGUGCGUCUCUGGAACUUGGUUCAAAGUCGGUGCUGGGAGCCUCCCCAGCCCAGCUGCCCGCAUCUGUGUCACGGUAAUCCCCAUCUGUCUCGCGAUCCAGACGCGCCACCGCAGCAGCUUCUGUGUCUGGCCGCAGCGACGGUCCCGGUCCCCAGACCAGAGGUAGCAUGUCACGUGGACUCAGUCACCGUCUUUUGUAGGGACAAAUGAGUUUGAAUCUGCGGAAACAUUGCUAACAGUGGGACGUGCUCCCAACACGAGGUCAGCGCACCCCACCCCAGGGUCACCCUGGUGCGGCUGCAAUCGGAGCUCUCCUCGCCCGAUUCCUCAUCGCAUGCUCUUGCGAGGCAGGUUAGAGAGAGGGGCCGGGCGGGCAGCGCCGCGUCUCGGCGACAUCAUGAUGAGCCAAGUGAUCUUCCUCCGAGAACGAAGGUGUCGGAGCUCAGUUUUCCCAGCUGUAAAAUGGGGGUAGCAAUACCUGUCCUGUCUUCCUCUCGAGGAUGUCACGGGGACCUAAGGCGACAAUGUGAAAAUAACAUGGUAAACCCCUAAGGGCUCAAAAAAUAAAUAAUAUCUUAUUGGGA
rnacentral:lncRNA from 12 species